UACGUAGGGGGCGAGCGUUGUCCGAAGUUACUGGGCGUAAAGAGCGCGUAGGCGGUUUUUUAAGUCUGGUGUGAAAGGUUCAGGGCUCAACCCGAACAGUGCACUGGAUACUGGGAGACUUGAGUGCGGCAGAGGGGGGUAGAAUUCCACGUGUAGCAGUGAAAUGCGUAGAGAUGUGGAGGAACACCGAUGGCGAAGGCAGCCCCCUGGGUCAAGAUUGACGCUCAUGCACGAAAGCGUGGGGAGCAAACAGG
rnacentral:rRNA from 1 species